rnacentral:rRNA from 1 species
GUAAGGAAUAUUGGUCAAUGGAGGCAACUCUGAACCAGCCAUGCCGCGUGCAGGAAGACGGCCCUCUGGGUUGUAAACUGCUUUUAUCUGGGAAUAAACCUGCUUACGUGUAAGUAGCUGAAUGUACCAGAAGAAUAAGGAUCGGCUAACUCCGUGCCAGCAGCCGCGGUAAUACGGAGGAUCCAAGCGUUAUCCGGAUUUAUUGGGUUUAAAGGGUGCGUAGGCGGCCUGUUAAGUCAGGGGUGAAAGACGGUGGCUCAACCAUCGCAGUGCCCUUGAUACUGAUGGGCUUGAAUGGACUAGAGGUAGGCGGAAUGAGACAAGUAGCGGUGAAAUGCAUAGAUAUGUCUCAGAACACCGAUUGCGAAGGCAGCUUACUAAGCUACAACUGACACUGAAGCACGAAAGCGCGGGGAUCAAACAGGAUUAGAUACCCCGGUAGUCC